rnacentral:rRNA from 1 species
UACGUAGGGGGCAAGCGUUGUCCGGAUUUAUUGGGCGUAAAGAGCGUGUAGGCGGCCAUACAGGUCAGCUGUGAAAACUCGAGGCUCAACCUCGAGACGUCGGUUGAAACCGUAUGGCUAGAGUCCGGAAGAGGAGAGUGGAAUUCCCGGUGUAGCGGUGAAAUGCGCAGAUAUCGGGAAGAACACCCGUGGCGAAGGCGGCUCUCUGGGACGGUACUGACGCUGAGACGCAAAAGCGUGGGGAGCGAACAGG